GACGAACGCUGGCGGCGUGCUUAACACAUGCAAGUCGAACGGAAAGGCCCUGCUUUUGUGGGGUGCUCGAGUGGCGAACGGGUGAGUAACACGUGAGUAACCUGCCCUUGACUUUGGGAUAACUUCAGGAAACUGGGGCUAAUACCGGAUAGGAGCUCCUACUGCAUGGUGGGGGUUGGAAAGUGUCGGCGGUUGGGGAUGGACUCGCGGCUUAUCAGCUUGUUGGUGGGGUAGUGGCUUACCAAGGCUUUGACGGGUAGCCGGCCUGAGAGGGUGACCGGCCACAUGGGGACUAAGGUACGGCGCAGUCGCCUACCGGAGGCAGCAGUGGGGAAUAUUGCACAAUGGGCGGAAGCCUGAUGCAGAAACGCCGCGUGCGGGAUGACGGCCUUCGGGUUGUAAACCGCUUUCGCCUGUGACGAAGCGUGAGUGACGGUAAUGGGUAAAGAAGCACCGGCUAACUACGUG
rnacentral:rRNA from 1 species